rnacentral:rRNA from 1 species
UGGGGAAUUUUGGACAAUGGGGGCAACCCUGAUCCAGCCAUCCCGCGUGUGCGAUGAAGGUCUUCGGGUUGUAAAGCACUUUUGGCAGGGAAGAAACGGCGCUCUUUAAUACGGGGCGCAACUGACGGUACCUGUAGAAUAAGCACCGGCUAACUACGUGCCAGCAGCCGCGGUAAUACGUAGGGUGCAAGCGUUAAUCGGAAUUACUGGGCGUAAAGCGUGCGCAGGCGGUUCGGAAAGAAAGAUGUGAAAUCCCAGGGCUCAACCUCGGAACUGCAUUUUUAACUCCCGAGCUAGAGUAUGUCAGAGGGGGGUAGAAUUCCACGUGUAGCAGUGAAAUGCGUAGAGAUGUGGAGGAAUACCGAUGGCGAAGGCAGCCCCCUGGGAUAAUACUGACGCUCAUGCACGAAAGCGUGGGGAGCAAACA